AGGCCCAAUUGGCCAGCCCUAGUGCUUAACCCAAGGAUUGAGCAAGCCCAAGUCAUCAUCAUUGGAUGACAUAAUUUAUUGGCGUGCUUUUGGGGAUGAUUUGUUUUGAGUGAUGCAUCUUAAGUUUUACUAUGGAGAUUUACCGUGAUGCUAAUUGAGUAGCGAAACACUUUGUGAGAGUGUUUACUGUGCUUGUAUGCCAGUACAGAGUGAUGAUCUAUGUGAAGAUCUAUGUGAUGAUCUAUGUGAAGAUCUAUGUAAGGAUCUAUGAGAUGAUCCACGUGAUGAUUUUGUGUAAUUGAUGUGGAGUGAUGUUGAGCAGUUGUUUUGUGAAUUUACAUUGUGAUGAAAGGAUUUAGUGGCCCUAGGAAUGUAUUUUUAUACAAAGGAUUGUGGCUUUGUAGAUUACUACAGAUUUGGAAAAGAUGGAGAUUCUAUGAUUAGGUCAACCUUAAUCGAGAGGAAUUGACUUACGCUCAAAUUUCGGGACGAAAUUUCUUUAAGGAGGGUAGAUUGUAAUACCCCGAAAAAUCCAAAUUAAAUUCCAUGGUUUUUUAGAAAUGAUUUCACGAUAGUAGGAGCGAGUACGAAGCUUGGAAAAGUUGUGGAAUUAGUUCGAACGAUUUUAUUUUCGAAAACGAACGUUUUUAGGGGGUCAACAAAGUUGACUUUUUAUACGUUCAAAAUUUGGGAAAACUUCCUUCAUGAAAGUUGUAGAGCUCGUCGAUACGAGUUCGUGGACAUGUGGAACGCAUUAUUUGGAGUUCGUAUGAAUAAGUUAUGAAUAUUUUAAAAUUGAGAAUUUUCUAUAAAUACAAAAAAUCAGAUUUCUCAAUAAGGAAACCCGAAAAUUUCCAGAUUUUUCUCCUCCUCGCUGCCUUGGCUUCACGGCGUCGCCACGACUUCAUCCGGCCACCUAUGGCCAUGAAAUUGAUAUCAAUCUCUUCGCCUUGAAACCAGCUUUCCAUUCAUAUAUGUCUUGCAUCCUAUCAUUCACCAUAGACAACGAAUCGAAGCAAAGAAGGUCAGACCAUUUUUCAUGCAUUUCUUCAAAUUCCAGCCAACUCCGGCAAAGGUAGGAGGGGAGACCAACUGGGCUUUGUUCGCCUUGCCAUGCUCUAUAAACUCACCAAGUUUCACAUCUCGAUUCAACCCGAGGAAGACGAAUUUCAGAUUUGAGCGAUUUUGGGCGAUUUCGGCCUCUUUCUUCUUGAGGUGAUUGGCGGAUUGAUUUGGCGGACGAUUCGUAAAAUCGUUGUUGAGCUGUUUAGAAGACGCAGCGGGAUUAUCGAGCGGGUAAUCCUACAGGACAGGAGAACCAGGACGGUGAUCGUGCGGUUAGAGCAAUUGUUAGAGUUUUACAACAAUUGUAAGUUGUGAGGUGUGUUAUGCUCAUUUGAGCUUUAUAAUAUAUUGUGAGAGU